AAAUAAAGUGACCUUUUCCAUUGAGGGUGAUGCUAAUGCUGGUGACAUUUUCUUUGUAAAUCCACAAACUGGAGUGAUUACUCUGCUCAGUUCUGUGGAGAAUACAAAUCAGCUGCUGUAUAGGAUCCGUGUAGCUGCGACGGACGGAGGUGUGCCGUCACGGAUGGCCUACACGUACGUUGACGUAACGAUCCGCCGCGAGACGGGACAUCUGGCCUUCACGCUGCCGUCGUACAUUGUGAUCAUUAGUGAGAACACACAAGUGGGGCAGGCCAUCAUCACCACGCAGGCUCAACCAGGGCAAGCUUCCUAUAAGCUGCUGGGGGUUGACCCAGGACCUGUAUACUUCACAAUUGAUGAAUUCUCUGGCACCCUGUCUC